rnacentral:rRNA from 1 species
AUUGAACGCUGGCGGCAGGCCUAACACAUGCAAGUCGAGCGGAUGAAGGGAGCUUGCUCCUGGAUUCAGCGGCGGACGGGUGAGUAAUGCCUAGGAAUCUGCCUGGUAGUGGGGGAUAACGUCCGGAAACGGGCGCUAAUACCGCAUACGUCCUGAGGAAGAAAUUGGGGACUUUCGACCUCACGCUAUCAAAUGAGCCUAGGUCGGAUUAGCUAGUUGGUGGGGUAAAGGCCUACCAAGGCGACGAUCCGUAACUGGUCUGAGAGGAUGAUCAGUCACACUGGAACUGAGACACGGUCCAGACUCCUACGGGAGGCAGCAGUGGGGAAUAUUGGACAAUGGGCGAAAGCCUGAUCCAGCCAUGCCGCGUGUGUGAAGAAGGUCUUCGGAUUGUAAAGCACUUUAAGUUGGGAGGAAGGGCAGUAAGUUAAUACCUUGCUGUUUUGACGUUACCAACAGAAUAAGCACCGGCUAACUUCGUG